rnacentral:rRNA from 1 species
AUUGAACGCUGGCGGCAGGCCUAACACAUGCAAGUCGAACGGUAACAGGAAGAAGCUUGCUUCUUUGCUGACGAGUGGCGGACGGGUGAGUAAUGUCUGGGAAACUGCCUGAUGGAGGGGGAUAACUACUGGAAACGGUAGCUAAUACCGCAUAACGUCGCAAGACCAAAGAGGGGGACCUUCGGGCCUCUUGCCCUCGGAUGUGCCCAGAUGGGAUUAGCUAGUAGGUGGGGUAACGGCUCACCUAGGCGACGAUCCCUAGCUGGUCUGAGAGGAUGACCAGCCACACUGGAACUGAGACACGGUCCAGACUCCUACGGGAGGCAGCAGUGGGGAAUAUUGCACAAUGGGCGCAAGCCUGAUGCAGCCAUGCCGCGUGUAUGAAGAAGGCCUUCGGGUUGUAAAGUACUUUCAGCGGGGAGGAAGGGAGUAAAGUUAAUACCUGUGCUCAUUGACGUUACCCGCAGAAGAAGCACCGGCUAACUCCGU